AUGAGUGUUAUGAGCUGGAACUAUCGCAGAGUGGGCAAUGCCGCGAUAGUCAACGAACUUUGCGACCUAGCGAAGAAGUUUGCCCCUACCCUACUAUGUAUCGUUGAAACCAAGAUAGAAGGAACUAGUGUAGAAAAUUUAGCCGGCACUUUGGGCUAUGAUAAGGCUUAUGAUGUGGAUAGCAGCGGUAGAAGUGGAGGUUUAGGCCUUGUCGUGGUUCUAAGUCUGACAGUAAUGUAG
rnacentral:rRNA from 1 species